GGUGGUGUGAGAAGCAGAAAAGGCCUUGACUCUGGAUAAGCACUGCUCAGCAGUAACUAAAACAUCCCUGAGUUAUCAACACCGUCUCCAGCACAAAUCCAAAACAUAGCCCCAUACUAGCUACUACGAAGGAAAUUAACUCUACACCAACCAAACCCCGCACAUAGAGAAAGGAAACAAAGGAGCCGUUCAAGUUUGUAGAAGGAAAGGUAGAGCCCUACUUGUGCCACAAGACGCACAGGGUGUGCAUGUUUGACAAUCCUCUAUGCUGCAGUGGUGCAUCGCCAAAGCCAGUGCUCAAUUCUGUGGCGCCUUGAUCUCCCAAACCCUGAGCUCAAGGUCCUGCUCCUCAUGGGCCAGUGCGUGGGAGCCAUGAAAGCAGUGGUUUUCACACUGCUCCGUCUUCCCUCCAUCUUCAUUGCUUUACCUAGGGUCAAUUAAAUAUGUAUCUUUCAUGGUUCCCAACUCCUGCCUCCUCUCUCCCCAGCAGGCUGUUCAUAAUCAUUGCUGUUAAUUUGCUUCUCCUUCCUCUGCUGCACACAGCCACGCCCACACACAGCUCUUUUCACUUUUCUUUCUCUUCAAUAAAUCACUUUUCUUUCUCUUGAUUAAAUUUCAUAAUUCUUACCUAGCCUGUCUCCAUAAGCUUCGUUCAUUUACUCUUCCAGCAACUAUAUCCACCCUUUUUACUACCUUACCCCAAGCUGGUCUACCCAGGUUGUAACUUUUCACUCUUAGCAGAUUUCAAGUUUAGAAAAUGAGUCAGAUAUUUAUUUAUGGUUACCUCUUAAAUAUUCAUGAGAUGUUUCUGCAUUGUGCUUUCAGCUGCAUCCCGUGCUGUCCCAUUGUCAUCGGUGUCCAGGCCAUCAUUAACCCAGACAAUGGACAACUGCCAUAGCUGACAAACAUUAGACCUUGCUUCUUUUGCAGGAUCACAUCAUCCACUCCUCUUCCUUUCUCAUGUCCUAAAGCUUUAACCCCUUCUUUGUGUCAGUACUCACAUCACUCGAUACUAUAACACAGGUAUAUUAAACAUAUGAAUGAUUUAACAUAGGAGGUAAACCUUCAUCUAACAUUAGCAGAAAAACAAAACAGUGUUUAUUACAUCUGUGGGUGUAUUCUAAAUUAUUACAGGGUAAUUAACUAAGAAAUAUAGGGGAUAUCUAAGGUACAUUGCAUUACAGUGCCUUGACAGAGAUGCUUAACUUUGUUAAAAGCUGUUCUCAAAACUGCUUUGAGGAAAAUAACAGUUCUCCCAAAUCUUAUAAAAUCUGAGCUCAUGCUGCACAAAACAGAGAUUUGCUUGACUGGACUCUGCAGAAAUCUGCAAGUAAGUAGAUAUGCUGCAUUAUUCCAAAUCCACCCAAUGUUAUCCCGCUCAGAGCUAUCACCUAUUCAAGAAGACAAAGGCGUUACCAGAGAUGACAAAGUCAGGGACAGUCAGCAGAAAGUGGCCUGUUUGUGUCUCCACCACCUCUGCCUGCCUGGUCUACACUGCAGCAGCCGCCACCGUCCGCAGCGUUUGAGCCCCUCAGGGCUAUUCAGUUAAAGACAAGCCAAACUGGCACAGGGAUGUCCUUGGCAAUUGGGUGAGAGAGUUCAAAAUGGUUAAAAUUAACUUUGCCUCACCUCUCCUCAGGUGGCAAGAAGGAAAGCCUUGCCACAGAAUUGGAUUGCUUCUUUACUUUCCAUGCAUGAAAAUCCUGCUAUGUUUUGGCAAAAUCUUAACAACAAAUCCAGCAUAAUGGAAGGAGUUUGUAGGGAAACUCCCCUUCUUUGUCUACUCAGGUUAUUUCUCUCCUGUUUUUCUGUCUCAUCCAUCUCCCUUUUAUAUUACUUAGACCAUUCUCAUCCUCCCCACCUUUCUUUGUAGCCUGUUUGGAAAAACAGGGUGUUUUCUUAGGAACUCUAAUCUAAAAGCCUUUUAACUGUUAAAGAUUAACCAUUAAAGCAUCUGUGGAAAAGCAUACAUUUCCCUGACACUUGACUCCAGCUCGCCGCAUUCUGAAACUCAGCUAUUGGUAAUGCUUCAACAGCUUGUUCACGGUUAACAGGUUGAUAGGAAGACAAGCUCAGAUCCUAUGUGGAAAAUACACAAAUGCAGGUUAAUAUCGUAUGCCUGGGUGGGGGGCCACAAACGCCUCUAACUGAGAGCAAGCAAGUGUAAGAACCUGUCUUUCAGUGGCACAAUUUGGGGGAGAUUUUGAUUUUGAGAGUGGCUUGGGCACUUUCAGAGUUGGAGCGAGGAGGGCUGUGCACAUGCCUAUGCACAGAGGAAGAAGGGUGAAUGCAGCAAAUCAGGCCCAGGUGGGGGACAUCAAACAAAAAAAGGAUGUUUAGAGAGGAUGAUGUGCAUGUGCAGCUGGAAAAGCAAAGCUCUGAAUUUACUGUUUCAGAGCACACAACAUGCUUCAGAUAAGAAAACUCACUGCUAUGGCACUGGUAGGAGUUUUCCAAAAGGUAUGUACACUCAUGUUGAAUUUGGGGGCCAAACAUGGUCUAAAUGCUCAAAACUCAACAACUUCACUCGGAUUUCCCUACAAGAUUAACCGAUGUUUGGAUCUUCCCUUUAAACAAGGUGAUCAAAAGCAGUUUCCAGUUGUCAGUGAGAUAUUUCCUACACAGCAUUUUGCAUAGUCCCUUUUUAGUGAUAUUGGAAUAUUUGUUUCUACCUCGCCAUAAAAUCAUGGUAGAAGCCAUUUCACCAUUUAGACUGAAUUAGCUAAACUCUUUUUAAAGAAAGACUGUAAGGCAGACUAGACUUUGAAAUUUGUUUUGUUUUAGGAAUUUCAGUGAAAUUUCAAAUGGCUUUUCAAUUUCUACCUUAAAAAUAAAAGUAAUUAGUUUUAUUAUAAAUUCAUUUGUGAUUUGGAAGCAUCUAGAUCCUCUAGCAGAAUCAAAGACUGAACAUCCUAGGACAAGAACUAAUGCAACAGUCAACCAAAAAGAGAGUGGGAGAAAGGGAAUGAUGUUGGCUUUUCUCAAUUAUUUAUUUUUUAUUGGGUUUUUGUUGUUGUUAUUAUUACAUUAACUGGUAGUAUGUAGGAUGAUUUACUUCAGUAUCCUCUGCAAUUUGCAGAAUUGUAGACCAGAAAGAUUAGGGGGCAUGUCCUGAUAAAGAGCACUAAUUCCUAUAUGGCUUCGUAUAUGAAAAUACUGCCACCAGAAGAAACAAAGAUGCUUGGACGUAACUUCUUUUUCCUCAUCUUCAAUAUAUGACGAAGAGACAAGAUGCUUUAAAAAUGGUAAGAGAGAAUAGUAAGCCAUAGUAAGUAAUUCAGUCCUUUCUUUGUGUCACAAUGACAUUAUAUCUGCUGAGAGAGAUUGCAGCUGCAUUCAUAUGUAUGAGCUUGUGUAGCCUUUGAGAUUUUUUAUGUAUGUAGAACUCAUUAUAAACAAUUGUCACCAAGAUCAAGCCAAGAGCAGCCUGGAAGACAAGAGCCUGAAAUGUCUCUGAAAACCUUGACAUAAGUUUAAAUUUCCAUUCUGUCCUCUUACUGCAUCUCUCAGUAGAAAAGGCGAGCACAAUAAAUAUAAUAGCGGUUUACCUCAACCACAGUAAGUCUCUGGAGAAGACAGUAGUUGUCAGGAAGGAAAAAGACUGGGGAGAAAGUUUCAGAGUAUUCUUUAGAAAUACUUGAGAAGCCAUGUUAGAAUCAGAAUAAAAGACCGGCAGGCUCAGUUAAUAGUUUUCUACUAUUCAGUGGUUAAGCUUUGAAGAGAAACUAUUGGCUUCUAAGAAUACAGAAUUCUUCCUAUGCUCUGUCUAAAAAUCAUCAUUUUAUGUGUUUGUGGGUGUCACAGGCACAGAGAAAACAGUACCUCAGGUGCAAACCUGGUCUAUGAAUGUAGGUCUUGCAAACUUCGCUGAAGAUUUAGGCCCAAGAAUUUCUUCAGCUGAAGAACAUCAGACUAUGUAUUAUUCCAUUGUAACAUGCUGUAAACUAAUGCAGAAGUAACAAUUCAUGGAAGAGUAACAACCAAGGAAGUGUAAGCUUUUUUUUGAAACACUGGGAUUUUUAAAUAAGAUUCAACACACUGUAAAGAGUUGCAUUAAUCUCAGCCAGUCUCUGUUUGAGCUGUUCUUAUAACUCAUUACUUUGCCUGUGGCUACUCUAGAGUAAGUGUAAAGGCAUGUCAAAAUGGGUGGAGAUAGGAAAACAAGUACACUUAAAAGGAUUUUUUCUCAGCUCCCACCUAAGAUUCAAAUAAUGCUCUGCCAUCUGAUAGGAAGCCACAUUCCCACUUCCACCUUUUACUCUUGACCUAUUUAAAUUCUCAGCCCCAACCAUAAAGAAAUAGGAGGAGUGAAAGAAUGACAGCACCUACUACGAAGCGUGCUGUUAAGACAUAAUGCUGUUUCAUGCAGUUGCCUAAUAUGUUCCCAGAUGCAGUUGUUGAAGAUGACAGGAGUCUGCCUGGGAGAGUGUCCUCAGUGGGACUACAGGCUCCGGAUAUACCCUGUAGCAACAACAUACCCUGUUGCAUUUAAAGUCUCUCACUGGCAAGUCUAAUUUCUCAGCUAGAAUAGGAAGAUAGUGACAGUGAUCUUUUUUGCAAGAAACCAUUUGGUUCACUGAGUUCAGACUAAAAGUUUCACUAGUUUUGUUUGGUGGGUUUUUCCCCACCUUCCUUCCAUACUGGCCUUAGACUCCUUCACAGAACAUUUCAGGUUUCAUGGCAGAUUCUCCAAGACAGAAUGUGUUUUUCCAGUCACAUUACUAUUCAUAUCUUUAAGCCUUGCCUUGAGACUCGCUGAUAGCUCUGCUGCCCUCCUUUAAAAAUGUAAAGAAGGCAUUUUUAUCUGCAAAAACUCAUUGUUCUGAACUGUUGCAAGUGACAUUUAUGGUGAGUAGUACUAAAGGAAUUUCAAGCACUUCAUAAAAAAAUCAGACUGUUCAGCACAUCACUGUAAGCACAUCAUAUCUGUAUCAGCAGUAGUGCUGCUUGUUAGUAGUGUCUACCCAAAAGACACUCUCAUGGCUGCCUGGAAGAUCAAGGGAAGUUUGGCAAUGAAAAUGCAUCUGUGUUGGCCUGCAAAGGGGUGCGCAGGGGUUUUUCCAUGACACACUAAUAAAGCCAGGCCAGUAAAAUCCCCCAAAAGGAGGCAAUGCCUAGCCCAAUAACAGCCCAAGCAACUGUUCAAUAACCUCAUGGGGUCAGCUUCUCUCCUCCCUCCCUCACUCCUGCCGUGGUGCCAAUUAAGUACAGCUCAGCUUUGUCAGGCUCAGCAGUUUGAAGAGUGUUUACUCAGCCCUCAAGGAAGCUUUAGUUACUUGCUCUGAGUUUGCUGUUCCUGUGGUUGUGCUACUACAGACACUUGAGCUAGAAAGAAUAAAAGGAGUUCAGGUAUGUUUAUGUGAACUGUUGUGAUAGUAAUGUAAGUGUGUGUCCUUUAAAACGAGAACAUUAAUCACAAUGGGAAGGCAUGUGUUGUCUUGCUGGUGCAUGGUGCUGGCUCCGGUACUUCCUGUGAAAAUGCCAAGACUUGAUUGUAAAGGUUAAAGAAAAGAGGGAUACAACAAGUAAUGCUUUGAAUAAAAGUUUCUUUUAUAUUCUAACACUGCUGCCUUCAUCAUGGAGGAAAAGAUAGUGAUGUGUAUGCAUGUCUGUGCUAGCUGGUCAGGAGCAUGUAGAAAGGAUCAGAAUUUUUUGUUUGCAGAGGGCUAGGGAUAGACUCAAGUAAGUGAAUGCGAACUGUUGAGCACAGCUUAGCUAUUUGCACAUGGGAUUUUAUUUUCACUUUGUUUUGUUGAAACCUUAAGCCUUAAGAUUGUGGGCUCUCUGCUACCUGUUGGAGAGAGAGUAAAAGGUACCAAAGAGAGAAGAUGCAAGAACGGAGUAUAUUCUUGAUGCCUACUUUCAUGGCAUGAACUUGUCGGCUGAGAGGAAGAGGAAGACCAUGGGCAGAACUGAUCAAGAAAGGGUUUGAGGGUAAAGUUGUUUGUGUAACAACACUUUGAGUUGCAAUCUGCAUCAUCCGCUCCAGGCAGAGCACUGAAAGGACCAGCCUAGUGUAACAGAGCUGUGCUCUUCCAGGCUUUUGCACUGGGCAGAUAGAUAGCUGAACGGAGAGGCUCAGUGCAUCGACUGCUGCACUUCUUACCGGGAAAUUGUGAUUUGCUGCAGCUUCAGGGUUAGGUGUUUAAAUUAAGAAAUACCAGAACUAGUUAUUCAUUCAACUCUUACUGCUCUUUCUUAUGCCUAUGCAGGAUGAUGGUUUAUCACUUAAUAUUACUUUCAGCCAUUCUUCUGGAUCAAAAUAUACAAUAACUCCAACUCUUGGCAAAUUUUUGCUGAUAAUUAUUACAGAGUUUAUGAAAAUUGUCUGAACAAAUGAACUUGCUCCAAAUUCUCACUGACAUAACUAAGAUGGGGAUCCACCAUGCAGGGAAAGCUCUCAAUAAGCAGAAAACUAAGGCUUGUUCAGCUGCUUUACUCUCUCAGCAUUCUUCUUCUUCAGGGUGCAGCAUAUAGCCAGCAUUUAGGGUCUUCAUGGUUUUGGUUUUCUUUAGAAGGAAACUCUUGAGACAACUGGAUAUAUUCUGUGGUAGAACGCUGUUUCCUUAAAAACAAUGUUUCCCCCAAAUAAUAGGGGAAAAAGAUCAAGCUGACAGCCUCCUUCUUCAGAAAUCCAAGCCUGAUUUCUGCAAGGAUAGUGUCUCCGUAAGAAAUUGUUUCCUAGCUUACUCCGAAAGUUGCGUUUGUACACAUUUCCCUUAUUUCCUAUCUCUCUUGCACAGUUUCAGAUCAUUAUUUCUAGGGACUGGAAGAUUGUAACCUGUCCUAGGAAAAAAUAUCUUUAAGAUGCUGCAGGUUAGUCCUUGUAAAAUCUUACCAUGCAGCUAUUUGAUUUAACCGCUUUGAUCAGUGUCUGCCUCACUCCAAAGAGAAGCAUAAAUGGCCUUUCUACUGAGAGUGGCAGACAGUGCUUUCUCACUCUUCCAAUUAAAACAGAUCUGUGACUCUCCAGCGUUUUCCUCGUGACUGCCACCACUACUUUGCAGCACACCUGCAGCAUCUGAACAUGCACUGUGAGGCUGCAAGUGAGAUGGGCUUUUGUGACUCUAAUAGGUUAUGGAUGUAACUGCAGACCUGCACAGUACAUCCUUUCAUAAAGGAAAGCCAUUGGGUGUCCACAUUUCUCUAUAUAGAAGCAUGAUAACGGAAGAUGUCAUUACUAGCUUUUGCAAAUAUUUCGGGGAAAAAAAAAAGUGAAGAAUCUUUUUGCUGUUGAUUUGAGUGGUUUUUUUGUUUUGUUUUCUAGGUUUUGUCAUUUGUUCUUUUUGCUUAAUUUCAAAAGCCUAAUUUAAAAUACUUGAUCUGUGGUAGUACUGUGGGUAUGAGAGACCAUUAUUGAAUGUAAUAUAGAUUUCUGUUUGAUUGAUUAGUAAUUCGCUUAGGAGAUUUCUUUUCCAGGAAUCAUUGUCUCACAGGUCUUAUAUUGCCAGUGAAGAGGCUCAGUUUCAAAACCAACCUGUUAUUGUGUGUAACCUAGCUAUGACAACACAGUACGAACUACAAAGGCUCCUCCAUCAUGCCGCAAGAUUCAAAAUUUGUUGAAAUUCCCAGCCUAUUCUUCUUAGCAUCUUAUCUAAAAAUUAAUCUAAAUUAGCAAGUUCUUACACUUAAUCAGUUGGUUUCAUCUGAAUUUAUUGGAGCCCUUAUUAGGAAAGUGGCAGUACUUAUUUUAACCCAUUUGAAACAUAUCUUGCCUACAGCUCCUUUUCUGAGUGUUUUGAAAAGCAUGUCUGCCGAAGGCUGUUUUUCCAUGGUUUACAUUUCCUUGAGCAUGAGUGGGUAUCUUCAGUUUCAGAGUAACUUAUUAAUCUGUGGCCUGUGUAUCAAGCACAGGUGACAUUACUGUCACGGGGAGAACGGGGACAAAGAUAGCCUGAUUUGUCUGAAAUCAGAUGGGAAACCCAAGCAGGGAAAGCUGUAAAGUAUUCACAGAAAUGGUGUGGCAUACCUCUUUCCCUUUUGCUAAUCUAUUUCUUUCUUUUUGUUUUCCUGCUCUUCUUCCCAAUCCCAUCUUCAGAAAGUUUUAUAAAAAUUAAAAAAAAAAAAAGGAAAAGAAAAAAUCCACGAAAGACUUAGGUUUCCACAAUGCAUUGUUAAGUACGUGUAGUGUGACCAAAAAUCAAUUUUGGAAAGUAAUUUCUUGGUACAGUUUUAUUGUAGUUUUGCAUCCUAUGAGUACUGGCAUAUCUGUCAAGGCAGAAUGGACUGUGGAUUUAUUGUAAUUAAUGGUAAAGCUCCCUUUUCUGGUCCUUUGUUUUUGUUCACAUCUCAGAGAUCGACAGAGAAAGGAAAGAGAAGCUGCUUUGCUGUUAGCAAGGCUCUGCAAUUUAGUAGCAUUCACGGGAAUUCUUGUGGACAUUGGCAUGAGAAAUAUGAGAAGAAACAGGAGAAAAAAAUAGAUGGUUGGUUUCUGAAGAGAGGGAGGUGGGUUUUCAAUGGCUUCCUCAAAAGUUUUGUAUAUCUCCAUUUCUCACUGUGAUAGUUGCCUGAGCCUUGGCUGUCUGAGUAUGAAACAAAUGAAACAACUGAAGGGCUCUGGACUGAGGGUCUGUUCUCACUCCUUAACACAGGUGUACCACCUUUUCAAUGCAUUCUCACAGUAAAAAUGUCUGGAAACUGGCAAAAUUAGUUGGAGCUCUUGCAUGGACACUGAACAUAGCAAAGAGAACACUCUUUGACAGGCAUCCCUGUCCCUUCUGUUCCAGGAACACAGCAGCCCAUGAACUCCCAGAGCAUGGUCUUUUCACUAGUGAGGGAAUAGGAAAUUAUGUGAGAGAUACAGCUGUUUGCACAUCUCCGUGUCAUCACAUGCUGCCUGGAUAAAGCAGCUGUCCCUUUUGUGUUCAGACAAAAUGCCAUCAGCAGCUAUUCUAGCUCACACCUGAGAAAGAUCUUGCUCUUAUCCUUGCAGAUGUUGCGCAGGACAUGGCAUGCUGUGGUGACAUGUACAGCUAAUUCUUCACUAGCACCGAAGAGUUUCCCUAGGCUAUACUGGUUUAUCUUCAGCUUGCCUAAUUAACUCACUUGCUUCUAACAGCACAAAACAAACUUUAGAUCAGAUAAUAAUCCUCACUGAUUACUCUGAUUUAGAGGCGGUGUAGUUUGUACUAACAGCUUAUUGUUAUUGAUCUUCCCAGAGCUCUACAUCCUUCUGGUGUAUUUCACGAUGACGUUCCUGCACCUGCCAAUUUGGCCAGCUAAAGCCGAUCAAGCACAGUGCAGGUAUUCUGCAGAGUUAGCAUUCACUUCUUUGUUGAUUUUGUUUGGUUGGGGUGUUUUUCAUGAUACAUGUUAGAAUGCUUUUGCAGUCGUGGAGCACUGCUCUCUAAAGGGAACUUAUUUUUCCAGACAUGUUUAUGCACCCAGCUCAUGUGUGAUUAUGGCAUAAUGUUGUGGCCCAGGCACAAGAAAUGGACCACACAACCCUCCAGCAUCCUGAGAAGAUUACUGCUUUCUUUAGCUUCGUCUGUGUGAGCUCCUACAGAAAACAUUUGCUCCCAUCACUGUCAAUAACAUAUACAGGUAAAAUUUGACUUAUGAAUGAUUUAGUGAUAAAUUUUGUACAACAGAGCAGUUGGUAGAUACCAUCUAAAUUAAAGUUCUCAGCUGUGAAAAGCUGUAAGAUGUCGUGGGCUCCAGAACAGCCACUGUCUGCAGUAUCAUAGAACGUGCUUUGAGUGUUCAUUCACUGGUUAUCCACACUGCACAACAAGUAUUUAAAUCUUCACAUUUAUAUAUUUUUCAACUGGAGAUUAUAUUCACAGUGUUAGUGAGGUUGGCUCUUUUUUUCACAUAUUGUUUUCAGAGAUGGGACAGAUUAAAAUAAAAAAUCUGGUGAUGCAAGGUUAUGGAUUUUGGGAAUAGGCUGGCCAAGUAUGUUGGCUUUGGUUUUCUCCUUAUGUUCAGUAAGGCUUCUUUGCCUGACUGCAAUGUACUUUUUGCAGGUGAUUUACUUCUCCUUCCUGGUAUAGAUUGAGUUGCAGCCUGCAUUUAAGCAGUACACUCUGAAGAGUUGUGUCACUACCAGGUUUCAUUUGAGAAGCACAGUGUGUAUGUAAUAAACUGUAUUAUAAAAUGUGUGUGUGUGUGUAUGCAUUAUAAGUACAUUUAUAUAUACAGUAUGUUAUGUAUGUCUAUAUAAUGUGUAUGUACUAUAAUAAUAAUAAAAUAAUAAAAUAUAAUACAUAAUAA